AAUGCUAUACUAUAUGUAAACAUGAAACUCACUCUACCUGUAGUUUCUUUACAAACGUACAUAUAUGUAUAUACAUAUACAUAUGUAUGAGACAUAUAAGUAUACAUAUACUAUACAGUCCAAGCACACAAUUUAUUAAUUUUGUCUUACCGCAGCUUCUCGUUAUUUACAACGUACAUACAUAUAUACAAGGUGCGUUCCAAAGUAAACAGGACUCCAAAAAAACAAUACAGCUUUUUGCACGGUCCAAAAACAGGUCGAACGAGUGUUUUAGCUCGUUGGCCGGUAUGGCCGCCAGUAUGCCGGUGCAAGCCUUUUGAAUGGCCUCUACGUCUGUAUAACGCCUUCCUUUCAUGGGCAAAUGCAUUUUUCCGAAAAGGAAGAAGUCGCACGGUUCCAAAUCAGGUGAAUACGUGGAGUGGUUAAUGGUUAAAAUGUGAUUUCUGAUCAAAUAAUCGGUCACAAGCGUCGACCGAUGAAACGGCGCAUUAUCGUGCAACAAACGCCAACUUUCAUCUUCGCGAUAUUUGGGCAGAACACGUCGAAUGCAGCGCACCAAACGCUUCAAAACUCCAAGGUAGAAUACCGCAUUAACGAUUUGGCCGGGUGGAACAAAUUCUUUGUGGCUCGUCCGAUGCCGUCACAAUAUUGUAAAGGAAGUUUUUGUCCUUUUUGAUCUCUUUAAUGAUGUCCUUCGAAUGUUGGAUUCUGAGCAAUUUUUGGUCGUCAGUUAAUUUGUGCGGAACAAACCGUGCACACACCUUUCGCCCAAAUGUUCGGUCAAAAUGCGAUAAAUCGAUGUUUUAGAGAUGUUCAAUUCGAUUUUCAUGAAUUUCAAUGAUCAGCCAAAAUCGAUUUUUGAUGAAUUCACGCACAGUUUCAAUGGUACUUCCGGUGAUUACGGAUUUUGAUUGGCAUACAUGUUGAUCGUCAUUUAUAUCCUCACUACCACUUUAAAAACGUUGAAACCACUCGUGCACUCUGCUUCGGGAUAGGCAAUCAUCGCCAAAAACUUGUUUCAUCAAUUAAAACGUUUCGGUAGAAGUUUUACCAAUAUUAAAACAAAUUUUAAUGUUGGCUGUUUGUGGUAUACAUUUGAUAUUAUUAUUCAUAUAAUAAACUAAUCAAUACAGUGAAAAUUUUAUUUACGAAUAAAGACGAAAAUGUUUUUGUCGGUAUAAGAAUCCAAGUGAUUGUACAUGAGAUUUAAUUUUGAAUAUGUUCAUACAAAUAAGUUGCAUUGGACAAAAUAACGAAUUUAAGGCUGCCAAUUAAUAGAGUUGUCGGCUUAAUAUAUUGUACUUAAUGAAGAUGUCCGCUAAAUAGAGCGCCCAUUUAACAGAGCUUUCACUGUAUUUUUUAUUCAUGAAUUUUUUUUACUAUUCUAUCUUCUAAGUCGGUUCGAACUAGACUCAGUGUGGUAAAAUUUUAAAAUCAGUUCAGUAGUUUAGGCGUCCAUCACGGACAAACAACGUGACAAGUAAAUUUUAUAUAUAAAGACUAAGGGAUCCGGCCACGCGUUGCUGUGGUAUACAUUUUAAACUAUUAUUCAUAUAAUAAACUAUUCAAUGCAGUAAAAAUUUUGUUUAUGAAUAAAGGCGAAAACGUUUUUGUCGGUAUAAGAAUCCAAGGGUUUGUACUUGAGAUUUAAUUUUGAAUAUGUUCAUACAAAUAAAUUUCAUUGGAAAAAAUAACAAAUUUAGGGCUGCUUUCACAAUGUCUGUUUACCAGCCUUUCUGUCCAGUUAGUAGAGUUGUCCGCUUAAUAGAUUGUACUUAAUAAACAUCAACAAUGUGAAUAGUUAAUUGAGAUGUCCGUUUAAUAGGGCGUCCAUUUAAUUGAGCUUUCACUAUAUUCUUUAUUUAUGAAUUGUUUUUACUAUCCUAUCUCCUAAGUUGGUUCGAACUGGACACAGUGUGCUAAGUUUUACAAAAAUCGGUUCAGUAGUUUAGGAGUCCAUCGUGGACAAAUAACGUGACACGUACUUUUUAUAUAUAAAAAUGUAUUUGACUACUGUAUUUAACACUUUAUUUACGUGUAUACAUAAGUAAGUAUUCAUUAUUUUUCACGUCACUUUUCUUUUUAUUUAGGGGUCACUGCACUUGGCCACCUCCACUAUUUGUACCAAUUAUAUAUGUAUUUCUCUAAUGGAAUUUUUUAUUUCUUUAUAUAUCUCUUGUAUUUUUUUUGUUUCAGGGGAUAUUUUUUUUUCAAGUUUAAUUUGUUUCCACUUCACUUUCCCGAAGGCCGAAAACCGAAAAUAUUUGACAGGCAAUUAGUCAGGAUAACGAAAGUUAACACAAACACGAUUAGUUGGCACUUUUAGUAAAAAAUAAGCUAACUCCACGCACUUAGUCUCUGCUUGGGCGCCAUGAAAAAUCUCAAGCGUUUUGAGAUGCGAAAAAACUAUAACUUAGGAGUGCGCGAAUAAAAUGUAAAAGAAAAUUGCUGUUCCGAAAAAAUGUAAUAAUCCGAUGAAAUGAAAAACACGUCCGAUCGUUUGCACGUUCUUAAUACAAUUAAUUAUUUAUUCCGUUCAAUCGGAUCAGCUGGCCCAAACUAACUAACGGCUUAAAAAUAGUUGUCUUAUAAAUAUGUAUUAAAUAUCGGGGUAAGUACAAUUUUGACGCAUUUUCGUUAAACUGAAGUAAUAGAUUAAGGUGAAAAAUAGAUUUAAGUAAUAUAAAUGUGUUAUUAGGGUAAGUAUGUUAUGUUUCAUAAUUCAAUGUAUGUAAAUUUAAAUUUUAAUAUUUUUACAAUUACUUUUCUUAAAUUUAGUUUUAGGUUUAAAAAAUAUGUAGCUGACGGAACAGAUGUCAUUUAGGGUCCAUAAUUCAAAAAAAAUAAUAAUAAUAGUAUAGAUUACAACCACUAUAAACGGUUUGUUGCUCUAGAUAUAGCAUCGAUUUUGGAUACCUUUGUGCUCAACAUUUAUGACACUAUCAGUGAUUUUGAAAGAUUUACUGUCGUUUAUUUUUAAAUCUUUAUAUAAUUUUACAUUAAACAAUUCGAAAACAUAAAAAAAAAUAACAGAGACACAAAUGUCGAAAGCAUAUCGAAAUAUAUAAAAGAAAGUCGUGUUAGUUCCACUAUUUAUAACUUACGAACGGCUGUCUCGAUUUGGCGGAAAAUUGGUCGAGAGGUAGCCCAAAACCAGGGGACAGACAUAGGAUUAUUUUUAUCGUUUUAUGUUAAAAGUCAGUUCAAUUCAUAAACACUGAAAUUAUAUUUCAAAUCAUAAGUGUUUGUUCAAAAUUCAUGUUUUUUAGAAUCAUUUGAAUUUUUUAUUACCUCAAAAAAAAACCACAUAAAUGAUACUUUUUAUCACAUUCUCGUGGGACGUGACAUAAAACGUGGUAUAAAAAAGCGCAACUGUAAGCAAUUAAUCAGUAAAAAACAGUCUUGGAGUUCUUUUGUUGUGGACGCAAUUUACAGCUAAACUCACGUAGUCUUUGGUUAAUUACAGUAGAAUUUUGAAGUUAACCGGUUGAUGUGUUUGUUUCGAAUCUCUAUUAUCACAUCAGAGAUCAACAAGUAGAUACUUUACGACGAAGAAGAAAAACUGAUUUGAAUCUAGCAGCGCACAGUGGGGUAAAUUGUGCUUAAAAUGGAGAUUAAUUCCCACAAGUCUUCAAGUUAUGGAAAAGUUAUUUUUUUUAGUUAAUUAAUCAUAAAGAAGUAAGAAAAUAAUGCAAUUCGAGUUUUUUGAUUGUUUAUAUCUUAAAAAAACAAAAAUAUGCUGAACAUCGGUUUUCUAAAUUUUUAAUUUUUUUAAGCUUCAAAUUUUAUUUAAAAUAUAUAAACUGUUUCUUCAUCACUAUAAUCAUAUUCAUGAUCAUUGUCGUCUUCGCCUGAAUUUUUAUCAUCGCCUUCAUCAUCAUCGUCAUCAUCAACUGUUAAAUAUGUCUUCAUUUGCUUUUUUUCUACUGAAUUUGCGAGAAAAAUGUUCUCUAAAAUUCUUAAAAUCUUUGUUUCGAGCUACCUGAGCUUCUUCUGAUAAUUGUCCGAUUGGCAACAUAGCGUGCGAUAUUAUCUCUGGACCAUGGAUAAAAUAUUUGUGAAGUGUUGGAGGCAUGUUAUACCAAGGAUAACAUUCAACGAAGUAUUCUGUACCUCAAUAUCGUGCCCACUAGAAACAACUACGAGUAUUGUAUGCAUCUUUUUAAUCAAAUUUAUGUCAACUUUAGUAAUUGCUGGUGACAUCUCGGGAUUUUGAAAGAAACGCCUAGCUGUAUUGCCAUCGUUAGAAUUCCCAAGGCCAGGUUUCGGUUGGUCAACAAUCAGACCAAUUUUAUCUUUAAAUCCUUUUUGAAUCCGUGCUUUAUUUUCCGAAACUAAUAGUUUCUCGCUUUCUGUUCGAGCUUGCCACUUUUUAUAGACAAUUUAUAUGAUAAGUGGAGAAGAUAUUCAAAGAACCUAAUCCACCCAUGAAGUAUUGAAAGCCCAAACUAAAUUUUCUGUUUUCACAACUUUCUUCACCAUUUCAUCAAUUUUAUUAAAAUCUUUCGAGCUAGCUCCACAUAAAUAACAUUUUUGUGUAGAUGUUGUUUCUGUUAAUGCGUUGCAUACUUUUCCAUCAACCAUAGAUAAAAUUAAAUUGUGUUUAACUUUCAAAUAUUUACUUCCAUAAGGUAUAACCAAAUUAACAAGAUUUCGUAUUUCUAUACCAACUCUUUCGUUUUCAGUUCUAGAAACAGCUGUGGACUCUUUUACAAAUUUACAAAGGCCUGCAGAACCUGGUAGAAGCUGGGCGCGGAUUUUGCCACAUAAUUUUGCUUCCACAAAUCAACCUGAUUGGAACAAUACAGGUGAUGAAAACUGAUGAAUCAUUUGCACCCGGAUUAUGGUACGCUUGCUUAUAUGAGCUGUGUCCAGAGCUUCCAUCGAAUCCCCACUUGGUGUACAAGCAUAAAUUCGUCAUUUCCUCAUCGUUCAAUGUUUUAAUUAUGCUAUUUUGGGCUAAAGUUAUACGCUCAGUGGUAUGGUCUAAAAGGGCUUGCAAGCUUACUUGUGCUGAAAUCUCGAAAAAUGCGUGCUCUCACGUCUAGGAUAACAAUCCUUUUUUGCUGAUUGGACAUAUGAAUAGCAAGGAAACCUAUCUGGAGCAGAUUGCCUCAUAACAUUGUACUGUUGUCGAGAUAACUUUGCUUCCACCAAAACAAAUAAAGCGUCUUCUUUGGACAUUUGCUGUGAUGAUUUGGCAAUACUUUUAUGAAAUAUUUUCGCUUUUGAUGGUGAACUUGCAACCUCUUUCACUAUCUUUGACGCUUUCACUUGCCCUGAAGCUCUAAAACUCCUUUGUGCAGUAUAAGCUAAUAAAGGCAAAGGCACAAUAUCUCUUAAAAAUUUACUUUUUUUUGCUUCGUUUUCUCAUUUCAUUCUUCAAAUGAAAGUUCUUUGCAGCCACGUUUCAUUCCUUGUGAAUGGGUGAAACCUAUCGAAGAAUCCAGCCAACUUUGGGUUACUUUAAGGAAACGCUCUUCAUGCCUAUUGGCUCUGCUCCAACGAAUUUUAAAUUGACUAAUAAAGGUUUUUAUCCUAGGUCAUCAAACUCUUUUAUAAAUUCAUCAGAUGGCUCAAUACGCUUUUUCAAUUGCUCUUUUAAAAAUUCAAAUUUUUCAUUAAAUUUAUCCCAGCCAGAGUUUUUCAUUAUGUCAUAAAGACUUUGACGAGGAACCCAAAUUACAUUAGAACUGGUUCCUAUAAGGAAGAUAAUAAUAUUUUAUCCUCUUUAAAUGUAGUCAAUGUCGGUAUCGCUUUUACCAUGUUAGUUAAAUAUACAUCACUAUUGUUAUUUCUCUCGACUGCACAUGACAUACAAACAUUAGUAAUAAAAAUUGCGCGGGAAAAAACAAUGUCGGUUAUCAUGGUUUUACAUAUACCCUAAACCUUAGAUAAGAACCUUAUGCCAUAUUAAUUAAUUAUUACAAAAUGUAAGAAAUCAAAAUUUUAUUACAAAAAUGUAUGUGAUGAUGUUUAUUAUUAUACAUAUGUAAGUAAAACGCGAAUUUUAGACUAAAAGGAAUAUGUUCUUAUGCAUUUAAACUGCCGUUUUUCGUAACGUAUUCGUGUAUAUUUGACCAGGCAGUUCGCAUAAAGAAAUGCAUAUACUGAGAAAGUGCGCAGUAUUGGCGCAACUUUUUUUUUACAAACAGUCAUAGAUUACAGGAAUGAAACAAGAUUUGCUUUACCCCGCUUAACUCACAACUAUAUGUCUGCUUAUAAGGUCGAAAUCCCAAUAUUUUAAGGCUUUCGCCCAAAAAAAAAAAUUAAAAUACUUAGAGACACGUAAAAACACAAAUGAAAUCUUUUUGUAUUUACUAAAUUACCUAAACAAGAAGGUUCUAUUACAAUUUUCUCAAGAUUUGUCCAGUUAAAGAAAAUAAAAAAGUUCGAAAAAUGAAAAAAAAAAUCACGUAUAUUACUGUGCGCAUACAAAAAGAAAUAAACUUGCAAUUUUCAGAGAAUAUUACAAGAAAACUGUAAAUUUUUUGCCAAAUAUUUGUUCAGUUAGUGAUGUAGAAUUUUAUCUACUUUUGUUUGAUACCAAAAAUUUACUUGUACCUUGAAUUUUAAUUUUUGAAUUAAUCUCCAAAAUCGACACAUUUUACCCCAUUGUGCAGCGUUUCGAUACGAUUGCAUCACUAACGGUGUGCAUACUAGCAUUGGACCGAUGGACAUUGUUUGCGAGUAUUAUUGAAGUUUUUCGGAGAAAGGCCAGGGUUGUGCUACUUUAUUAUAUUGGGAAAAAAAAUUGCCGUUACUGACUCCACCACCAGAGCCAUUGCAUUCAUUGCUUCGCGGCGAAACACCCGAAUCACGACAUUUUUUAGCAAACACUUAAAAAUACAAUGGUUGUUUCCAAAUGACAUCAUUUAGGGCGGAAAUUAUAGGAGAACAAGGAUUUAAUCCUACAUUCAAGAUACAAGGACAUAUUCACCGACGAAUUUAAUCAAUACUGUCUCUAGAAGAUUCACAGUAGAGUGCUUCAAAAAAAUGUUAGUGAUUGACAAAAAAUCCUCCCUCAAGCCAGACGGGAGAAUUUUUAAAGUUUGAAAAGUCAACUUUCUGAAUAUGUGAUGGUUAUUUUUGAGAAACGAAAAUUAAUUGAUAAAAUUUUAGUUUGAAUAAAAAAACGAAAAUUCCUAUGUUAAAUGUAUAGAAAACUAAAAUAAAAAAACGACCCCUUAAAGUUAGGCUACAGCGCUUGGCUUGAGGGAGGAUUUUUUUUGUCAAUCACUAACAUUUAAGAGGGUAAUAGUAUACUUCAUGGGCAACAUGGAGGAACAACUUGAUCGGAGAUAAAUGUAGCAGUGAAAAGAUAAUUAUUCGUGAUCUGCAGCAACUACUUAAUGAACGUCAUGCGUUGUCGAUGACUACAAAAUCGUGAUCAAAGCAUAUAAACGACCAUUUGGAACACACGAACGCAAUUAUUUAUUUAAUGCUCGCAACAAUAGAUCAAGUGGCCACCCUUAUUUUUAGUGAAAACUUGGAAACACGCGAUAUUGUGCUUACACGUCGCGAUACUGAGUAACUGCAACAAAUAUCUGACAUGUUGCAAUAGCCGCUAAUGUUUUGGCAAGGUGAAGAUGAAUAUUAUUUCAAUAUCUAAAUGAAAAAACCAUUGAAUGGUGAGUUUCAAUAUAAUAGUUGUUUAGAGAAUAUUGGACAAAUUACUGGCAACCGUCUAAAAAUCAUUAUCUCGACAUAUUUGUAAUUACUUUAAAAAUAUAGAUGUAAGUUUUACAUUCGUAAUAAUAAUACUCCUGUCUUAAUUUCAUGUGAAAAAACUACCAGGAACGUUAGCUCGAAGAAUUAUUACACAUACCGUUUGAUGAUUCGACAAAAUGCUGACAACUAUUUGCUGCGGCUUCGACGUUUGCUGCAGCAUGUACGUCAAAACAGAAACGGAGCGCUUAACUUUCAUUCGGUUGAACCAAGUCAAACUGCGUUCUGAGGAGUAUAUCCAUUUACGAGAUGCAAUUCGUACGGAACGACAUGCAGCUAAUAUAGGCCGAUUAACUCUUCUGCCAUCGACGUACAUAGGAUAGAGAUUGUUCAAUUGCUGCUUCCGGACAAACAUUAAAUGACCGACACGACAUCACAGCGCGUGUAAUCAGACAAAAACGCGGUCCCUGAUAAAAUUCAUUGUUAAACAACGCAUUUUUGUAGAUACUAGAUGCUGGAUGUAAUCAAUAGAAUGACAAAGGGAGGAUUGCCGCACGCACACAUUUCUAUUUGGUUAGUGAAAAGAAUUCAAUCAGUCAAAAUCGAUGAUGUUAUAUGUGCCAAGAUUCCCGAUCCACAUCUAUAAUGUUGUAAUUAGAAAUAGGAUUCAUUGACCGUGUGACGCCAAUCACCUUUCGUGAUGGACGGCAAGUAUUCCAAACACAAAAAAGUGAAAAUAAUGGAUUUCGUGAUCAAUAUUUGGAUUGUUUCAUAUUCCCCAAUUAUUUCAAGACGCAUUGCAAUGUCGAGUAUUGCAAUUCAUUAAAAAUUCCAUAAAAAACAUUUGCUAAUAUGUCACGGAAGGCAUCGAUAUGGCGGUUUUUGUCAUCCAGACCUCCAAUAGCAACAAUGAACGCUAUCAAGUAUGUCGAUAUGUGAACUGCAAUGAAGCGAUUUGGCAUAUAUUCGCAUUCUCUAUUCACUAAAGUCAUCGCACAAUUGUACACCUGGAGAAUGGUUAAAGUAAAUAUUAUACAGCUUUGAAUGUUGUUUAACGAGCUGAAACACCUCCAGCGACUAAUUGACUGUUAAUUCUACAGUAUUCCCAACAAUUUGUGCUGCAUGUGGAGAACUUAAUUAAUUAGGUUUACGAUACCUAUUGGAAACGGCAAUCGUUGAACCAGUUGUCUCCAAGUCCGAUACAAACAUUUUCUAUCAUCAUUUCGACAUGCUUUCAAUCGAACCCAUCUAACCUCUGGCAAAAAUACAAGGAUAAUAUGUCAGAAGAUAUUUUACAACAAAUUCGUGUCAGUUAGAGAAAUCCCAACCUUCAGAUGAAUAAGAAGAUACAUAAUCGGGCUUUGAUCUUGAUCAAAGACAUGUGUAAUAUGAGGUAUAUUCGGUAUUCAGGUCAGGUUAGAAACAAAAGCGCAAAAUCGUGAAAUGAAUGACGCAUUUAAUUGAGAAUUUAAAUGGGUAAGUGAAUAUGAUCACCAGGAAUUAGAUUUAAUAGUUUGAACGGAUGUACCCUUGCUGAAUCACCAACAAAAGAAAGUUUUUGGUUUUUAUUUCCUGGAUGCCCUUGGUGGUACUGGUGGCAUUUCUCAUGUCUGUAGUUUUAGCCAUGUUCGUGCGAGAUCCAACAUUACGAUGGCAGAUGCUGCUCUGUAAUAGAAGCCACAUUGUUAAAGGAAUGCCGUACGGCUCAUUCAGAAUUAAAAUUGACGUUAAAUCUUCAAACUAUUGAAGAACCAACAUUUAAUAUCGCAAAACACUCCGCAAUGGCCUAAGUUUUAUCAGCAUCGAAAAUCAUCAUCUGGGACGAACGCACAAUGGCACAUAAACGAGCAUGGGAAGCAUUACACAACAAUUAUAGAUCUAUGUGUUGACACCAUAUGUUUUGGAUGCGCGAUUAUUUUACUGUCUGGAGAUUUCCGCCAAACACUACUAGUAAUACCAAGAUCAACUGCUGCAGACGAAAUACACGCUUGCCAAUCAUCCAAUAUAUGGCCAGUAUUCCCAACCAUCGUUACAAACCACAAAAAGAAUUAAUGGUUGAGUGAGCGAGCAAUUUUGAAGGCUCAGAAUAAAGACGUAUGUAUAUGACAUAAGCUUCAUAUUUCAGAAUGAAAUAAUUGCAACACUGAAUUUUCUCAAAUCAAUUGACUAUGUAACAAAUUAAGGUGAAGCUACGAACUAUCCAGUUUAAUUUUUAAACACCUUGGAUAUGCCAGGCCUUCCACCGCUCAGUUUACGACUAAAGGUUGGAUCCGUUGUAAUCAUGCUUCGAAACAUAAACUAACCAAAGCUGUGCAACAAAAUGCGUUUGGUGAAAAGGAAAUUGAUGAAUAAUGUGAUUUAAGAUACGAUACUUAAUGAAAAAAUCGAAGAAGAGGAAGUUCCCUUUCCAAGAAUCCCGAUGAUUCCAACCGACAUGCCGUUUGAGCUUAAAACACUUCAACGUUUAGAAAAUCAAUGUUUUUCCCAUGGUCAAUUAUAUGUGGCAUGUUCACGGGCCGGAAGACCAUUACAUUAUUUGUUCGAGCACCUGAUAAUAAAAUGAAAAAUGUCGUCUAUCCCAAAGUGCUUCAUUAAAAAGUAGAAUCCAUGCACUGAAAUACAUUGCCAAUAAAGAAUCCUUAAAAUACUUGCUUCUUUAAUUUACCUACAUUAAUUAUCCACAUAAAAAAUGUAUCUUGAUGAAAUUAAAAAUCUGUUCAUUUAUUACCUCUAAGGUACACACGAAGUUCGCCGGGUUAGCUCGUUAUGUAAAAUAAUAUAAAAAAAAUACAAUAAGAAUAAAUAAAAGUAUUGCAUUGUUUAAAAAA